rnacentral:rRNA from 1 species
GAUGAACGCUGGCGGCGUGCCUAAUACAUGCAAGUCGAGCGAACAGAUGAGGAGCUUGCUCCUCUGACGUUAGCGGCGGACGGGUGAGUAACACGUGGAUAACCUACCUAUAAGACUGGGAUAACUUCGGGAAACCGGAGCUAAUACCGGAUAAUAUAUUGAACCGCAUGGUUCAAUAGUGAAAGACGGUUUUGCUGUCACUUAUAGAUGUAUCCGCGCCGCAUUAGCUAGUUGGUAAGGUAACGGCUUACCAAGGCAACGAUGCGUAGCCGACCUGAGAGGGUGAUCGGGCACACUGGAACUGAGACACGGUCCAGACACCUACGGGAGGCAGCAGUAGAGAAUCUUCCGCGAUGGGCGAAAGCCUGACGGAGCAACGCCGCGUGAGUGAUGAAGGUCUUCGGAUCGUAAAACUCUGUUAUUAGGGAAGAACAAAUGUGUAAGUAACUAUGCACGUCUUGACGGUACCUAAUCAGAAAGCCACGGCUAACUACGUG